rnacentral:rRNA from 1 species
GAUGAACGCUGGCGGCGUGCCUAACACAUGCAAGUCGAGCGAUUUACUUCGGUAAAGAGCGGCGGACGGGUGAGUAACGCGUGGGUAACCUGCCCUGUACACACGGAUAACAUACCGAAAGGUAUGCUAAUACGGGAUAACAUAUUUUUAUCGCAUGGUAAAAAUAUCAAAGCUUUUGCGGUACAGGAUGGACCCGCGUCUGAUUAGCUAGUUGGUAAGGUAACGGCUUACCAAGGCGACGAUCAGUAGCCGACCUGAGAGGGUGAUCGGCCACAUUGGAACUGAGACACGGUCCAAACUCCUACGGGAGGCAGCAGUGGGGAAUAUUGCACAAUGGGCGAAAGCCUGAUGCAGCAACGCCGCGUGAGCGAUGAAGGCCUUCGGGUCGUAAAGCUYUGUCCUCAAGGAAGAUAAUGACGGUACUGAGAGAGCCCCCG